UGUGCUCGGCGCCGUUGCUCGCCAACCUCUCCGCCUCCGCCGCCUUCUUCCGCAUCCUCGGCGGCGCUCCCAUCUCCGUCGCCGUGCCUGUCACAAACGCUACCACCUUCGCCGUCCGCCGUCGCCGCCGCUGCCGCUGCCGCCGCGCUCCUUGUCCUCGGCGUCUUGGUCUGCAUCUCCUAGAAGGUCCAUCUUGAAUGCUGUGUUUGGAAGCAGCGGGUACUGUACCUGGUUAUUUCUACUCUGCAAAAUACAAUAUCAUGGCUGUGGUUCUGGGAGGGAGAACUUCUGAAUCACUACAUGCUUAAUACUAAGAAGGUUGAUCACUCCUUCAUUCUUGAGACAACCUUCUGGAAGGAAGAGGAUCAUCGAGAAGCGUUCGCGCACACUCUCAUCCCUACAGACAUAUUCCACAAGCGUGCUUUUCCCUGCUCCUAAUGGACCAACAAUCGGGAGUACAGCUAAGUCUGGAGUAACACUUGGACACAGCAAGAAGUUCAGAACCUGUUCCUGUUCGGUUUGGCGACCAAACAUGCAAUUGUCCAAGAGCAAAUAUGUGCCGUACGGUUGCCGGAUUAUCCGAGGAUAUGACUCCAAGAAGAAAAGAAACUCAUUCAUACCAGUCAUGGUGUCUUCAAGAGUAUCAACCAUAUGUUGCAGUUCUUCUGGUAUACUGUUGUUUGCAACAAAGAACAGUGCUGCUUCUCUGUUGCUGCUACCACCGUCAUUUCUAGAGAGACGAAGCCGUUUGGAUUGACUGAAUCUAGACAGCGCAGUUGAUGAGUAGCUCACCUCAUCCUCAUCCUCUCCAAAGUCUUGGAAUCUCGAGGCAUCAAGAACAUAGUGGCCUCUGUACAUUCCUUGCCUCAAGAUCUUGAGCUGACGGAGCAUACCUUUGCUGGUGAUGUGCCGCCCCUCUGCCUCCUUGACAACGGUGUCCAUUCUCAUUACAACUCUCUGCAACCUCUGUAGAAUCUUGUCGAUGCCAGGCUGCUGCUGGAAGUAUUUGUUGAUCACGAAUGCUGCCGACCUGCUGAUGAGGUCACCUAUGAUUGCAGAGACAACUAUAUCCAUUGAUUGUGCAGGAACCUCCUUGACUCGGAGCACGAAAGGUACAAUGGAAAAGUGAUAGAAACAGCUGUGAGUGGUACUAGGUAGUUGGAUGGAUCAACAUGCUAUGUGACGUGGGUGCCCUGCCAAUUUUUAAGCGAGUCUUCAUCUGACGGGUAGAAUUGAGGUGUCACCAAUCACCAGCCUUCAUUGUCUUUCUUUUUAUUUAUACCUUUGUGCUUAGUCGUCUCAAAUCUAUGGCAAAUCUUGAUCUGUGAUGCCUUUCCUGAUCUUUAGGUUCUUAAUUCUUUUCUUGUUAAUUUCAGUCACCUAAAAUUGCGCCCUGCAGCUAAGCAUGUAAUUGCAAUGCUUGGAGCCCUGCAACUUUAUGAAGAUGAUAGACUGAUAAGUGUAAUUUCUAGUUUGAAAGUUAUAUGUGGAGUGGCUUGGAUA